GUGGGGAAUAUUGCGCAAUGGGCGAAAGCCUGACGCAGCGACGCCGCGUGGGUGAUGAAGGUCUUCGGAUCGUAAAGCCCUGUGGGAGAGGGAAGAACAACCGAGGGGAACAAUACCCCCUCGGCCUGACGGUACCUCUCCAGAAAGCACCGGCUAACUCCGUGCCAGCAGCCGCGGUAAUACGGAGGGUGCUAACGUUGUUCGGAAUUACUGGGCGUAAAGCGCACGCAGGCGGCUUGGCAAGUCAGGUGUGAAAGCCCUCGGCUCAACCGAGGAAGUGCAUUUGAAACUGCCUGGCUAGAGUACGGGAGAGGGUAGUAGAAUUCCCGGUGUAGAGGUGAAAUUCGUAGAUAUCGGGAGGAAUACCGGUGGCGAAGGCGGCUACCUGGACCGAUACUGACGCUCAGGUGCGAAAGCGUGGGGAGCAAACAGGAUUAGAUACCCCAGUAGUCC
rnacentral:rRNA from 1 species